UGGUGGCGAGUGGCGAACGGGUGAGUAAUACAUCGGAACGUACCCUAGAAGGUGGGGAUAACGUAGACGAAAGUUACGCUAAUACCGCAUAUUCUGUGAGCAGGAAAGAGGGGGAUCGCAAGACCUCUUGCUUUAGGAGCGGCCGAUGUCGGAUUAGCUAGUUGGUGAGGUAAAGGCUCACCAAGGCGACGAUCCGUAGCGGGUCUGAGAGGAUGAUCCGCCACACUGGGACUGAGACACGGCCCAGACUCCUACGGGAGGCAGCAGUGGGGAAUUUUGGACAAUGGGCGCAAGCCUGAUCCAGCCAUGCCGCGUGAGUGAAGAAGGCCUUCGGGUUGUAAAGCUCUUUCGGUGGGGAAGAAAUUGCACAGGAUAAUACCUUGUGUAGAUGACGGUACCCGCAUAAGAAGCACCGGCUAACUACGUG
rnacentral:rRNA from 1 species